UCAUGGCGUUUUAUGACUUGUCCCUUUAUAUCGCCGAUUAUGAGAAGUAUUUUUGUGAUUAUCACGGCAGAGUGUUGCUAUUGCGCUUACAAAUUGUUUUAAAGUGGUAUAAUCAUUGAUAAAUCGAGUGUUUAACGGUGUGGAUCUUCGUGUUUAUUGGCAAGAAACGUUUAACAAAACCAAUAUCCCUGGGGUCCCUGAAGUUGGUGAAGGAAGGAAGAGGAAAGAAAAAAACUAACUAACGAAAUGGGCGAAGGAAGAAAUUACAAAUAGCCGCUGGAGUUUGGGACCAUAGACAGAGACUUGGUCGGGUUUUCAGACUCAGUGUUGUACUCCUGAGAGGUUCCCGGGCUCCCCUGGUAUUAUGUGAUUGAUGAUUGUCAUGGCGGCCGACAGUGAUGGUGAUCUGAUCGAGACGGUGGUAACGUGCGAGGGCAAUCUAAGUGAUCCAGAGUUUCCCCAGAAAUUUUCCCGAAUAGUAGAUCGGCUGAAUCACCUAAUCUCCCCCCAAAAAGGUGAUGGCCUUUGUGUGAACAAAGUCGAGCCUUGGAAUUCUGUUCGCGUGACUUUUUCCAUCCCCCGAGAGGCAGCUCUACGCUUGCGAGAGCUUGCAACAGAGGGAUCUUCCGCUUUAACGCAACUAGGAAUUCUCUCAGUCCAGAUAGAAGGUGACCAAGUGAUAUCUUUGCGAAUUGCCGGAAGUUUUGGCGGUGAAUCACAGGAGAUUGUUCUCCACUCAACUCCGAGCGAUGAGCACCUCCCCACAAAAGCUCGAAGCGAUGGAAAUGCAAGUUCUUCAUCAAGUGAUGCAGAAAGACCUUUGCCAGGACCAAGUAAUCCCUGCAAAUCUCCCCAAUUUCGGUCACCAAACGUGGUCGCUCCGACAGACUGUGAUCCCAUCCCGUCGUUUCUCACGAAAACUAUUCAGGCAGCGUCAAGCACAGCUGGGCUUACUCAAGCAGUUAACCAGGCUAAUUCAAACACCUUAAAUUCAUCAAAUCCCACUCCAUCACCCCGAAAUAACUACAAUGGACCAUUCCCCUUCGCUAGUAUGACCCAUGCUGCCCAAGCUGCUCAAGGUAUCCAUCGAGAUUCCCAAUCAAUUUCUCAACCUCCAGUUUUCAAACACAACCAACCUCCACCGCCUUACCCAACAACGGCGAAUCAGCCGCAUCAACAACCAGAACCGCAAGCGCUAGUAUCCAAUCAAUUAAAUCCACCAGUAAGUAAAACACUUGCCCUGACAGCUGCAAUAGGUGCUAAUCAAGUAGCACUAUCAUCACCAUUGCUUGUGAAUCUACUUCAGAACGAUGGCAGUGGACAUCCUGGUGGUAGUCAAGGUCAGAAGGUGGUUGCUGUAGAUGCUGGAGCCAGUGUGGGCCGAAUGAAACCAGUAAAAAAACCAAAUGCACGGAGGAAAGAGACGCCAACAGUUACUGGAGUUGCUUUGGGUGAAUUAGAGGCACCUCCACCAACGAGUUUGGAUUCCAUUAGAGCCGAAGAUCUUAUUGGGGCAGUGCCCUUAACCCCCUCGGGCCCCUCUGCUUUUGCCUCAGUACCGCAGAGCAACUCCAGCAGUUCUCCUCAAACUAAUCAAACACACUCACAAGUACAAAUUACACCGAAAUUCCCGAUUAGACAGGAGUUGACUUAUAGAGGUCAGUUGGUGACCACGAGACAUCCAGUGAAUGGUCAAGGAAAUAGGACACCUGCUCAACAACGUCAGAUUAUUCUUCAACACCAGGUCCAAGGACAACAUAUGAUUGUUCAAGGACAGUUAUCUCAGCCCCAAAACCAACAACAGAUGAUUGCUUCUAACUUGAGUGUUGCUCAGCAACGAUUGGGCUUCGUCAAUAAUGGGCCCAAACAGCAGACACCUCCACCAUAUCCACGAAUUAAUCAGUCCGCUACACCAACAUCAGCAAUUCCCACAAACCAACAGACUCCAGUACCACCGCUAAAUCAAGGACAAACACUGAAUAUCCAACAACAAUUGCACCAUAAUAAACUAAAAAACACAAAUGUCAACACAAGUGCUAGUAAUGAUUUUCGUUAUGGACAGAGUCAAAAUAUACUGAGUAGAAAUUAUUCAACCACAGCUGGGACCACAUUAAUAUAUGGUACGUCAAAAAUUUCAGGAAAUAUAUCACAAAAUCAACAGUUAAAUCAAUCAAGAGUUAAUGCUGCAACGGGCUCACUAACGAGUCAGAUUAAUACAGGUGCCUUCAAUCAAGAGUCAAAGAAUCAGAGGAAAAAUAAUUUAACGGCAACAGUGACAACUGUGGCAACAUCAAAUUUAUUGAUUAGUUCACCAAUUAAUGCCACAAAAAACUCAUCAAUAAACACCAAAAGUAUAAAUACCAUUAGAGAAGAAUCAUCAUUGUCAUCGUCGUCUUCUGACCAUAAAGAGAGACAUGAGGAUGAAGAGAGACCUGAACCUGAGUACACGUCAUCAGGCAAAAUUCGACAAUUUUUAAUAAAUCCACUGACUGGACAUUUGGAACCAAUGCCAAGUGAAAGUUCAGAGUCUGAACCCGAGAGCGCUGUUGACAAUCAGGAUGAUUUUUUUUCAUUUCCCUCGCCGUCCAAUGAUCGUUCAAAUUCAAUAUUUUCCGAUGAUGAUGCUGACAGCAACAUGUCUAGACGGAAUGAUACAACUAAUACUGAUCAAUCGGAUUCAGAGACAACGGGUAAAUCAACGGGCAGCGAGGGUAGUUUGAAACACAGAUUAAAAUCUCGGGAUAGCCCAAUGCACGGUGAGAAAAUCAAAUUGAGACUGAAACUAGAAAAGUCAGAACCGGUAACAGCGGCUUAUAAGGUAGACGUUUCGUUUGUUAACACGCCACCGAUCAAGAAAGCUGAUAAAACUAUCAGUAAAAUUUUUGGGGCGACAACUCCUGGGGGCGGGGGCGCUGGUGGAGGAAUAGAUGAGCCGAGGGUGCCACCGUUGCAUAUUUCCUUGAGAGGCAGAAAUGCUUCAGUUGUACAGAUUAGAAAGAAAGAAAAGAAGAUAAUGGCAAGGGACGAUGAUGUUUCCGGGAAUAACAUUGGUGUAAAAAGGAGGGGAAAACUUAAAAAGAUGAAAGAUCCUACUGAUAGUAAUAAAUUUCUGCAAAAAAAGUCCUUGGGCAUGAUAAUGACGACCACCAUGGUUGCCACCACCAGUACUAUUAUUUCAACGGUUUCUGGGGUGGAAGGCAAUCGUCAAGUGGUAGCUGUAGUUAACAGUACCGUUGCUUCUGCGAGUCCUAAUGUCGGAGGAAAUGUUAUGACCAAGGUGAAUAAUUCAAUCCAGGGAAAGAGCAGACAAGAGAAUCUCAUUGAGGGCCAGAGGGGAAUUGUGAACAAAGCAGGUUCGAGCAAGACGGGAGAUGUAGAUGAUAUUCCGUUAAAUAGCAGGAUACCUUCACCUGUUAAGGGAAAAGGACUCGCUGGAGUAGGGAUGGGCAAUAGCCAGGGAGGAAAGGCACAUCUUGAGAGUGAGCUGUCCAAUCACACUAAUGAACACAAAAUUGGUGGAGGAAAAACGAAAAGAAGAGAUUCCAAAAAGAAGUCUGAUUCUGGGGAAGGUCUCCAGCGGGAACAAAACCUCCUCUCAGGCGGUAGAAUUUUGGACAACCAGACAAAGUGGAGAAAACUGGGUUACAAAGGCCCUGGAGCAACCAGUGACCUCCUAGCGAAGAAGGCCCCGAGAGAGCUCUGUGAUACUUCUACUAAAGACACGACAAAAAAAAUUGGGGAGAUUCGUCGAACAAGUGAUAGUGACGUUCGCCUUACCGACAAGACAUGUGUAAUCUCCCGAAUAACCGAAUUCAAUGGGAUGAAAAAAGAUCUUUUGAUUCAGGAGAAGCGUCGUCGUUUGAGCCUCAUGGACGAAAAGGACUUUCAUCUAUCAGACGCUCAAAUUGGUCAAACAACGAUCCAACAUAUGCCACGCGUAUCGAAACUCUUCGAAAAAGAUUCGACCCUUAAGAAUCCCUUGAAAUCACUGAGCCACAUAUCUGACAUACCAGAGAAGCUCCAGAACGAGGACCAAGUCAAGUCAUCGGCUCUCCUUGCCAAAAAAAUCAUCCCCGUGAAAUAUAAAAUCGAUUUAGAAAGCACUAAACCUCUUCAAAAACUGAAAAACCACUCCAUAAUUCAAUCUGAGUCUCAGUCUCCCUCUCAUACUCCCAAGAAAUCAUCUUCUAAUUUUAUAACCGUCUCCAAUACUUCUGCUAUCUCCGUAUCUUCCCCAGCAUCAUCGGCAACUCUAACAAAAAUAAUGGAAUUUAAAUCCGAUCCGAAAGAAAAGGGUCAAAACCUUGAAAGUUCCCCGGAAACAUCAUCCCUUGAUCCCUCCAAGAUUGAUCCACACCCAAAGCCUCAGGACAAAACUGUGGAAAAAGGCGAUACAAAUGUUAUUCCUCUGCUGGACUCAUCGCACGAACGUGUAACCCCCCAAAAUUCUGGAAACAGUGGAAAUACUGGGGAAGAUUCUGGUAUUGAAUCGAUGGACGCUCUCUCCGAAAAAUCACCAAAUCAAGGAGAAUCACCUCUCCAUCGACCUAUGGCUGAAUCCCAAACAGUGAAAAAUGUUCAGCUAACUCCAGUGGAAUUAACAACCCUACAAACUACAAUAAACAAGAACGUGCCUUCCUCAACAAGUGAUAUGUGUUCAACAGUGAAUUCAAAAAUAUUGAAACCUGAAGAUGAAGAUGAUAAUGAGGAUGAUGGUGUUGAUAAUGACGAUGAUCCUUCUCAUCUUCAUCUUGAUAAACAAUCAGACGAAGUAUCUAAUUAUCACGAUAUUUCUCGUAAUGAUGAAAAUAUUAAAUGUGAUGUCCACGAAAAGUCACUGUCAGUAUCAGAAUUACAAACAAAUUAUGAUUCUGGAAGCGUGUCAACAGGUGUUUCUAACGAUUUAUCAAUAAAUACUGGCAAAAGUGGUAUUUGUGAUGAUAACUUUCUUAAUCAAAUGAAUAAGUCUGCGACGAAUGAACCAGUCGAUGAAGAUAAAUUCGAUAAACUGACCAACAUUGAUUCACCAAAAUCCCCUGAGGCUCUUGAAACAACAAGAGACCAGGAUGUGACCUCUCACGUAUUAUCUUCCGAGAUGGCGCCAUUACAAGAAGCUCUUUCUCCACGCUCUGAAAAUACUAAGCAGAGUCAUCAGAGUCACAAAAACAACAACGUUAUUAUUUCGAAAGAGUCCUCCAAAGAAUUUUGUAAUAAGCGAAACGAUCACAAGAGUUCCAGCCUCCAGUUUAUAGACGUUAAACCGUCACUAGACGAUGCGAGACAGGACAAUCUUUUGGUCACAUUGGAACGAUCAGCCGAAACUUCAGAAUUAUCUCUGAUCAAACAUGAAAGUGAUACGAAGUGUCUUGUUAAACGUGAAUCUCCGUUGACGGUUAAAAGUGAUGAUUAUGGUAGUAAAAAAAAUGAAAUGGAUACGAGUGUACCAUCACCAUUGACAGAUGAUCCUCAACCAAUCAGGAUUACUCCACCUCUGUACACUUACUCGAAUCCUGUAGUAUUACAGAGGGAUGAAACGCCUAGUCCAGCACUUCACGGUGUUGAGAGUGUUGAUGCCGAGGCUGAUAAUAUUAAAAGAAAGAGGAGAAGGAAACAGGAGUUGGAAGGGAGACAGGAUGUUAUUUGUAUUGAAGAAGGGGACGAUUUUGUCGAGAGAUUGACACCGAUCAAUCCAAUAACUACAGAGGAUUAUGUGAAGAGACCUGGAAGAUCUCUAUUGGAGCAACUAUUGAUUGAAAUACCUAAUGAUAGUAGUGAGAAAAGAUCUUUGAGGACGAGAUCACAAAAAAUGAAUAGUCCUGAUAUUGUUAAGACACCAAAGAGCAGUCCACAUGGGACCACUGUCGGGAGGUUAAGCGAGGAACGAAGUGAGAGGAGAAGCAUUUCUCCAUAUGCCAAGAUUGGUAGUAAAAUUUGCCUUCCAAAAUUGUCCCCUAAUACUGUUGGCAGUGGCAAAGUAGGAAAAAGAAAGAGGCAGGAGAGUGAGAGCUCAGUUACUUCAGGACCUAAUAUUGAGGACCCACAGACUAGGCCCGGUAAAAGAAAAUGUUCGGAAAAUGCCGAAGUACUCAUUAAGGCUUGCAUGGGAGUCGAUGAGGGAGGACACGUUAAAAAAAUUUCCACCAAGGAUGAAAAAAAGGGCUUCAACAUACUGAGCAAGGCAAAAAAAGCAGGUCCUAUUUUAGUGGAUGUCGAAUCGUCAGAUGAUGAACCUCUUAUGGAGAUCGCUGCUAAGGGAAGGGUGAGAGGAAAUGAUGAAUCUGCAUCACCAAAACACAAAGAUUCCAAAACUUUGAGUACUCCAGUGAGUGGGAGUCAAUUAAACUCAACAAAUGUAUCAAAUUUCAACGCAUCCAGUAGGCUACAAAGAGAGAGUCGUUUAUUAACAACCAAACAACCAGGUAAUAUUAACUCAACAACGGUGGGUAAGGAAAGGCUACGUGGUCCAUCAGUGUCGACUAAUGAGCCGGUCGGGGAAGUAACGACACGAAGAUCUGUUAGACAAAGUGCAGUUUCACCACUCGCUACACCGGCAUGUAAUACGAGAGGUGCCUCCAGAUCGAUGGAAGAUGUUAAUAGGAGAAAAACACGAAGUGGUGCUGUGACGGCCGAGACAGCUGAACAGGCGAAACGUAGGCGAAUAUCUCGUGAAAACAAAUGACCUUCGGGAAGCGACCUUGACAGUGAUUAGCUACCGUCUCUCGUCAAGGCCUGUAUGUAUGAUUAUUUCUCAAAACUGGACGUUGAUUCGAUCGCCGUGUGGCUGGACCCCACCUGGUGAAUCUCGAAGUGUCAAACUAUAAACAAAUGUUGAAAUUAAUGAAGCGUGCAAUAAAUUGAGUUUAUCACACGCAGCCUGCUCAAAACUCGAUUUCUGCAUGCAUUUACAUGAAAUAGUUGGAGCACUUGGGAAUAAAUUUGGUUUUCAACGAAUGUGAAGUUUACAAGCCGAGCCGAAGGUGAGGCCUGUACUCAAAAUAUGUGCCCUUUUACUCUAAUAUACUAUCAUUUACAAUCACAAUUGUAUACAAGAUAAAAAUAUAAUUUUCCAUUGAUUUUCAUAAAAUACAUAAAAACAUUCAAACAAGUGAUCAAUCUCACGAAUUGCGUCAUUACUUCGAUUCUGUCUACAGUUCUAUUUAAAUAUAAAUUAUCGAUUGAAUAAACAAAAAAUGUAAAAUACAGAUUUUUUUGCUGGUUUUUUUAUUCGUAAAUCGAUAGUUAUUGAUCAUGAAUCAAUUAGUUAAUUAAAAUAUAUUGUAUAUAAAGAACUUAAUUCUACUCAGUUAAACAGGAGAAUGAAUAAUCGUAGUUGUACAUAAAAUUUAGUACGUAGAAGAGAAAAAUCAGAAUAGAAUCAAUUGUUCAAUGAUUCUAUCAAGUUAAUUUUCAUUGUUUGAACAUUAUAGCUGAGUGAAAUGAGAUUCAGCGAUAAAAAAACAUACUGAUAAAUGAAGAUGCAUUGUAAUUUUUCUAUGUAAAAUAUUCCGUUUGACACUAGUUAGAUAGGCUAGAUAAUAACUUGAAAAUAACUAAAAGAAAAUAAUUGAUUGUAUAGAAAAA